rnacentral:lncRNA from 1 species
GAAGGGGUGCAAUUUUUCAUCUUCAGGUGGAGCUAUGAGAGUCCGAAGGCAAAAUCGGAUUGUGUGUGAGACGAACAAGCGUGGGUACUUAUACGUUCUGAAUGGAAGCACAGUCAGAACGGGAGCGAUGGCGAUUUGAGUUCCAAAAGUUUGCGGAGGUGCAGUCACUCAAGGCGGAGCGGCGACAUCGAGCGAAGGAGACAAGCUCAAGAUGGAGCUUGCAUGGUGAGCUCGACGCAGCGGUUGAAAACUACAAAUCUAACCAAGGUGGAGAAUGUUAGGAUUUGGUUAGAUUUGUAGAUUAAUUCUAGUUGGAUAAAGAUUAAUAUUCAUAUCUAUUAGAGAUAAAUUAAGAGUUAAAUAUUAAUUAGAGUAUGAAUCUAACUAGAUUAUGAUAAAUAUUUAAAUCUAUUAGAGAUAGAAUAAAUAUAGAUUUAAAUAUUAAUUGGAGUAGAAAUCCUAAUUGGACUAGGAUUCGCGUUCGUUUUAGAGGAUGUAUUAUAAAAGCACUCUUUGGAUUCUUUUGGAGUAGAGAGUAUAGUGAGAGAGAGUGCCUUCUUGAUUGAAGCCGUAUUAGGAGAGAGAAAGUAAUGGUUGCAUGCACCUAGUGCAUAGGUGCAUGUGAGAGAGAAAAAGAGAGAGUUGUCUUCUUAUGGGUUUAUAGAAGACGAGAGAAGGGUAGAAGAGAUUCGAAAGGAGGGCUCAGGUUGUAGCUACUCUACUGUAGAAGAGGAGUUAGUUGUAAUCUUCUUUUAUUUAAUGAAUCUUAUUUUACCCGCAUAUUUUUUUGUUUUAAUUUUUUCUUUCUUUUAUGAUUGUAUUAGAUUUUGUUGAGAAGAUAAGUUUAUAGUAAAAAAAAUCCGAUUCGACGCUUCCAUUGCGGAAUCCCAACAAUCGGUACCGAAUCAACAACAGUCAGUAUCCGAGUGGGUUACGAAUUCUCAAAAUUUGGUACCGGGCGAGUACUGGAUUUCCAACAUAAAGGGACUUUUUCUGUUAGUGGAGGGUUUAAAACUUGGAAUAAGAAAGAUAAAUUGGAUAUGCAUGUUGGUGAAUAUAAUAGUAACAAUAAUGAAGUUGUCAAAAAAUGUGAAG